rnacentral:rRNA from 1 species
GUCGGUACAGAGGGUAGCCAAGCCGCGAGGCGGAGCCAAUCUCACAAAACCGAUCGUAGUCCGGAUUGCACUCUGCAACUCGAGUGCAUGAAGUCGGAA